rnacentral:rRNA from 1 species
AACGAACGCUGGCGGCAGGCCUAACACAUGCAAGUCGAGCGCUGUAGCAAUACAGAGCGGCAGACGGGUGAGUAACGCGUGGGAACCUUCCCAGUGGUACGGAAUAGCCCAGGGAAACUUGGGGUAAUACCGUAUACGCCCGCAAGGGGAAAGAUUUAUCGCCAUUGGAUGGGCCCGCGUUGGAUUAGCUAGUUGGUGAGGUAAUGGCUCACCAAGGCGACGAUCCAUAGCUGGUCUGAGAGGAUGAUCAGCCACACUGGGACUGAGACACGGCCCAGACUCCUACGGGAGGCAGCAGUGGGGAAUAUUGGACAAUGGGCGCAAGCCUGAUCCAGCCAUGCCGCGUGAGUGACGAAGGUCUUCGGAUUGUAAAGCUCUUUUGGCGGGGACGAUAAUGACGGUACCCGCAGAAUAAGCCCCGGCUAACCUCGUGCCAGCAGCCGCAGUAACAC